rnacentral:rRNA from 1 species
GCAUAAGCCAGCUUGACUGCGAGCGUGACGGCGCGAGCAGGUGCGAAAGCAGGUCAUAGUGAUCCGGUGGUUCUGAAUGGAAGGGCCAUCGCUCAACGGAUAAAAGGUACUCCGGGGAUAACAGGCUGAUACCGCCCAAGAGUUCAUAUCGACGGCGGUGUUUGGCACCUCGAUGUCGGCUCAUCACAUCCUGGGGCUGAAGUAGGUCCCAAGGGUAUGGCUGUUCGCCAUUUAAAGUGGUACGCGAGCUGGGUUUAGAACGUCGUGAGACAGUUCGGUCCCUAUCUGCCGUGGGCGCUGGAGAACUGAGGGGGGCUGCUCCUAGUACGAGAGGACCGGAGUGGACGCAUCACUGGUGUUCGGGUUGUCAUGCCAAUGGCACUGCCCGGUAGCUAAAUGCGGAAGAGAUAAGUGCUGAAAGCAUCUAAGCACGAAACUUGCCCCGAGAUGAGUUCUCCCUGAGACUUUAAGUCUCCUGAAGGAACGUUGAAGACGACGACGUUGAUAGGCCGGGUGUGUAAGCGCAGCGAUGCGUUGAGCUAACCGGUACUAAUGAACCGUGAGGCUUAACCUUACAACGCCGAAG